rnacentral:rRNA from 1 species
GACGAACGCUGGCGGCGUGCCUAAUACAUGCAAGUCGAACGAGAGCGACCGGUGCUUGCACUGGUCAAUCUAGUGGCGAACGGGUGAGUAACACGUGGGUAACCUGCCCAUCAGAGGGGGAUAACAUUCGGAAACGGAUGCUAAAACCGCAUAGGUCUUCGAACCGCAUGGUUUGAAGAGGAAAAGAGGCGCAAGCUUCUGCUGAUGGAUGGACCCGCGGUGCAUUAGCUAGUUGGUGAGGUAACGGCUCACCAAGGCCGUGAUGCAUAGCCGACCUGAGAGGGUGAUCGGCCACAUUGGGACUGAGACACGGCCCAAACUCCUACGGGAGGCAGCAGUAGGGAAUCUUCCGCAAUGGACGCAAGUCUGACGGAGCAACGCCGCGUGAGUGAAGAAGGUUUUCGGAUCGUAAAUCUCUGUUGUUAGAGAAGAACAAGUGCUAGAGUAACUGUUAGCGCCUUGACGGUAUCUAACCAGAAAGCCACGGCUAACUACGUG